rnacentral:rRNA from 1 species
AGCGAACGCUGGCGGCAGGCCUAACACAUGCAAGUCGAACGAACCCUUCGGGGUUAGUGGCGGACGGGUGAGUAACACGUGGGAACGUGCCUUUAGGUUCGGAAUAACUCAGGGAAACUUGUGCUAAUACCGAAUGUGCCCUUCGGGGGAAAGAUUUAUCGCCUUUAGAGCGGCCCGCGUCUGAUUAGCUAGUUGGUGAGGUAAUGGCUCAUCAAGGCUACGAUCAGCAGCUGGUCUGAGAGGAUGACCAGCCACAUUGGGACUGAGACACGGCCCAAACUCCUACGGGAGGCAGCAGUGGGGAAUCUUGCGCAAUGGGCGAAAGCCUGACGCAGCCAUGCCGCGUGGAUGAUGAAGGUCUUAGGAUUGUAAAAUCCUUUCACCGGUGAAGAUAAUGACUGUAGCCGGAGAAGAAGCCCCGGCUAACUUCGUGCCAGCAGCCGCCGCAGUAA